AAGUCGUAACAAGGUAACCGUAGGUGAACCUGCGGUUGGAUCAUUAAAAAAUACCUAGAGCAGUGCGAGCCUCCUUAAUUGGGGUGUCCUGCACUGUUUCUUUACACCUUGUGAAUUAUUCAUAUUGUCUCUUGUGGAAGUUCAGGCUGCGAUUGCUCAGGCGGUUGCAUUUUGAACACACCCUCCACAACUGAAUUCUAACCUAGUAAUACUCUAAACUGCCUUUAACUUUAAACCUAAAAAAUUUAAAAACAACUUUUGACAACGGAUCUCUAGGCUCUC
rnacentral:misc_RNA from 1 species